GAUUAUGGCUCAGGAUGAACGCUAGCGACAGGCUUAACACAUGCAAGUCGGAGGGGCAGCAAUAAAAGUAGCAAUACGUUGGUGGCGACCGGCGCGACGGUGAGUAACGCGUAUGCAACCUACCUAUCAGAGGGAAUAACCCGGCGAAAGUCGGACUAAUACCGCAUAAAACAGGGACACCGCAUGGUGAUAUUUGUUAAGGAAAUUCGCUGAUAGAUGGGCAUGCGUUCCAUUAGGUAGUUGGUGAGGUAACGGCUCACCAAGCCGACGAUGGAUAGGGGAACUGAGAGGUUGGUCCCCCACACUGGUACUGAGACACGGACCAGACUCCUACGGGAGGCAGCAGUGAGGAAUAUUGGUCAAUGGGCGAGAGCCUGAACCAGCCAAGUCGCGUGAAGGAAAAGAAGGAUCUAUGGUUCGUAAACUUCUUUUGCGAGGGGAAUAAAGUGCAGGACGUGUCCUGUUUUGUAUGUACCCUGAGAAUAAGGAUCGGCUAACUCCGUGCCAGCAGCUGC
rnacentral:rRNA from 1 species